AACCUUAUGGACCUGCGGGCGUAUACCUGCGGAGGGAUCAUUACCAGUACCACCGUCGCCUCCGGGCGUCGGUCUACUACCAACCCUUUGUCAUCCGACCUCGUUGCCUCCGGGUGCGACCCUGACCUUCGGGUCUCGCGUCUCCCCGGGUGGACACACAUCAAAACUCUGCAUAACUUUGUUGUCUGAGUAAAACUUUUAAUUAAAUUAAAACUUUUAACAACGGAUCUCAGAUCGGAA
rnacentral:misc_RNA from 1 species